UUGUCUCAAAGAUUAAGCCAUGCAUGUCUCAGUACAAGCCAAAUUAAGGUGAAACCGCGAAAGGCUCAUUAAAUCAGUUAUGGUUCCUUAGAUCGUACCCACAAUUACUUGGAUAACUGUGGUAAUUCUAGAGCUAAUACAUGNAAAUNGAACUCCGACCGGAGACGGAAGGAGCGCUUUUAUUAGAUCAAAACCAAUCGGUGGCGGGUUCGCUCGUCAUCGUAUAACUUGGUGACUCUGAAUAACUUUACGCUGAUCGCAUGGUCUUGCACCGGCGAUACAUCUUUCAAAUGUCUGCCUUAUCAACUGUCGAUGGUAGGUUCUGCGCCUACCAUGGUUGUAACGGGUAACGGGGAAUCAGGGUUCGAUUCCGGAGAGGGAGCCUGAGAAACGGCUACCACAUCCAAGGAAGGCAGCAGGCGCGCAAAUUACCCACUCCCGGCACGGGGAGGUAGUGACGAAAAAUAACGAUACGGGACUCAUCCGAGGCCCCGUAAUCGGAAUGAGUACACUCUAAACCCUUUAACGAGGAUCAAUUGGAGGGCAAGUCUGGUGCCAGCAGCCGCGGUAAUUCCAGCUCCAAUAGCGUAUAUUAAAGUUGUUGCGGUUAAAAAGCUCGUAGUCGAAUUUGUGUCUCGUGCCGCUGGUUCAUCGUACGCGGUGUUAACUGGCGAGUCGCGAGACGUCCUGCCGGUGGGUCGAGCCUUCGGGCGAGACCCAACUCAAUCCUGCCGCGGUGCUCUUUACCGAGUGUCGAGGUGGGCCGGCACUUUUACUUUGAACAAAUUAGAGUGCUUAAAGCAGGCUAAAAUUUCGCCUGAAUACUGUGUGCAUGGAAUAAUGGAAUAGGACCUCGGUUCUAUUUUGUUGGUUUUCGGAUCCCCGAGGUAAUGAUUAAUAGGAACGGAUGGGGGCAUUCGUAUUGCGACGUUAGAGGUGAAAUUCUUGGAUCGUCGCAAGACGGACAGAAGCGAAAGCAUUUGCCAAAAACGCUUUCAUUGAUCAAGAACGAAAGUUAGAGGUUCGAAGGCGAUCAGAUACCGCCCUAGUUCUAACUGUAAACUAUGCCAGCUCGCGAUCCGUCGACGUUCCUCCGAUGACUCGACGGGCAGCCUCCUCAACGGGAAACCUAAGCUUUUGGGUUCCGGGGGAAGUAUGGUUGCAAAGCUGAAACUUAAAGGAAUUGACGGAAGGGCACCACCAGGAGUGGAGCCUGCGGCUUAAUUUGACUCAACACGGGAAACCUCACCAGGCCCGGACACCGGAAGGAUUGACAGAUUGAGAGCUCUUUCUUGAUUCGGUGGGUGGUGGUGCAUGGCCGUUCUUAGUUGGUGGAGCGAUUUGUCUGGUUAAUUCCGAUAACGAACGAGACUCUAGCCUGCUAAAUAGGCGCCAAUAGACAUCCUAAAGGCCCGUCUUCGUUUCGUGCUCGUUUGGCGUUGGCGGCCGGGUUUCGGCUCGUGUCGUUGCGUCGGCGGCCGUGCGUAUGACGCGGUUUUUACUGUCGGCGUUUUAAAAAUUCUUCUUAGAGGGACAGGCGGCAUUUAGCCGCACGAGAUUGAGCAAUAACAGGUCUGUGAUGCCCUUAGAUGUUCUGGGCCGCACGCGCGCUACACUGAAGGAAUCAGCGUGUCCUCCUUGGCCGAGUGGCCCGGGAAAUCCGCUGAACCUCCUUCGUGCUAGGGAUUGGGGCUUGCAAUUGUUCCCCAUGAACGAGGAAUUCCCAGUAAGCGCGAGUCAUAAGCUCGCGUUGAUUACGUCCCUGCCCUUUGUACACACCGCCCGUCGCUACUACCGAUUGAAUGAUUUAGUGAGGUCUUCGGACCGAUGCGCGAUGGCGUUUCGGCGUCGUCGAUGUGUCUGGGAAGAUGACCAAACUUGAUCAUUU
rnacentral:rRNA from 1 species